rnacentral:rRNA from 1 species
GUGCCAGCAGCCGCGGUAAGACGAACCGUGCGAACGUUGUUCGGAAUCACUGGGCUUAAAGGGCGCGUAGGCGGCUUGGCAAGUCAGGGGUGAAAGCUUUCGGCUCAACCGGAAAAGUGCCCCUGAUACUGCCGAGCUCGAGGGAGGUAGGGGCGGACGGAACUUCCGGUGGAGCGGUGAAAUGCGUUGAUAUCGGAAGGAACGCCGGUGGCGAAAGCGGUCCGCUGGGCCUCCUCUGACGCUGAGGCGCGAAAGCCAGGGGAGCAAACGGGAUUAGAUACCCCGGUAGUCC